GACCUGGUCCUGACUGGACCAUGUAGGUCAUUCAGGAGCCCUGCUGGGUCUGACCUGGUCCUGACUGGACCCGUCUGACCCUCCAGACUUUGAACUCCUCUGUUUUUGUGACUUUGCUCCUCGCUGAGUUUUCCUCUCAUGGAAUUUGUCUGAGUGGAAGUCCAACAAACAUCUCAGCAGGUUUCUGCAGAAACACAAGUCUGACUCGUGUUCAGUAAGGAACACCUGCAGAGAUCCACCAGCCAAUCAGGAGGCAGCAGACCAGAGUCGUUUCCAGAUGUUUCAGAGCAGCAGCUUCAUCCAGCUGUAGGCCUUCAUCAUCAUCAUCAUCAUCAUCUUUAUUGGUAAAAACUUUAUUGAUCCUGUUUCUGAUCAGUGGUGAAGUGUGUGGGAACAAAGUGCACAUCUGCUAAUGUUUGUAGUCUGUUGUAAUGGUUCACCUUCACUGUUCAUUACACUGGACUAUGGUACAGAACCACACAAGCAGAACCACUUCCAGGGUCCAGAACCACUGAUUAACGAUCCACUCAACAAACCUUAAAACCUGCAUCAUUAUUAUUUUUAUUUUCAUUAAAAACACACAUUUCUACAGGAAGUUUGGUGAAAAAAGGCUGAGCACAGUUUCUGUCUGAUGUCAUUUAUUCACACACACACACACACACACACACACACACACACACACACACACACACACACA